rnacentral:rRNA from 1 species
UACGUAGGGUGCAAGCGUUAAUCGGAAUUACUGGGCGUAAAGCGUGCGCAGGCGGUGAUGUAAGACAGUUGUGAAAUCCCCGGGCUCAACCUGGGGACUGCAUCUGUGACUGCAUCGCUGGAGUGCGGCAGAGGGGGAUGGAAUUCCGCGUGUAGCAGUGAAAUGCGUAGAUAUGCGGAGGAACACCGAUGGCGAAGGCAAUCCCCUGGGCCUGCACUGACGCUCAUGCACGAAAGCGUGGGGAGCAAACAGG